rnacentral:piRNA from 1 species
UGCAAUGGGAGCAGGGUCCUGUCCCCACGGU